GACGAACGCUGGCGGCGUGCUUAACACAUGCAAGUCGAACGGUAAGGCCCUUCGGGGUACACGAGUGGCGAACGGGUGAGUAACACGUGGGUGAUCUGCCCUGCACUUCGGGAUAAGCCUGGGAAACUGGGUCUAAUACCGGAUAGGACUCCGGACUGCAUGGUCUGGGGUGGAAAGCUUUUGCGGUGUGGGAUGGGCCCGCGGCCUAUCAGCUUGUUGGUGGGGUGAUGGCCUACCAAGGCGACGACGGGUAGCCGGCCUGAGAGGGUGACCGGCCACACGGGGACUGAGAUAGGGCGCAGACUGCUACGGGAGGCAGCAGUGGGGAAUAGUGCACAAUGGGCGCAAGCCUGAUGCAGCGACGCCGCGAGAGGGAUGACGGCCUUCGGGUUGUAAACCUCUUUCAGCAUCGACGAAGCGAAAGUGACGGUAGGUGCAGAAGAAGGACCGGCCAACUACGUGCCAGCCGCCGCAGUAA
rnacentral:rRNA from 1 species